GGAAUAUUCUGGAUAUUAUGCAAUAUACUAUGCCAUGGUAUUUAACGGGAAAAAAAUUUGCAAGUCUAUGUUCAAGGAUCUACAAACCAGAGUGAAGAAAGAACUCAUGUACCGUCUUGUCACGAGCCCUAUGAAUCUGGAGAAGCUUCCAUCAUUCAUGGUUCAAGAAAUUGAAGAUUGAUGGCAUGGCCCACUAGCCUGGGCCUUGGCACCUUUUGUUUUUUAUGACUAUUUAGUAGAACUCAGUUUCAUGCAAUGUUUGUGGGAUGCAGCAGACUUGUGAAGCACUAGUGCUUUUUGUGCCUACAUAUGAUUGGUCAACCAAUCACGAAAUGGUGAUGAUCUUUGUAGAUAUUAAUCUGUGCUCAGACAUGUAAUGCCUUAUGAACAUGUAUGGCUGUUAGUUGCUUGCACGAGUAAUGAAUAUGCAUUUUCGUCCAUCACCUAUGUUGUUAACAGUUUCAGAAUGUUAGAUCCCAAUA